rnacentral:rRNA from 1 species
GCCUGANGCAGCGAUACCGCGUGAGUGAAGAAGGCCCUUGGGUCGUAAAACUCUUUUGCAAGGGAAAAUAAUGAUGGUACCUUGCGAAUAAGCACCGGCUAACUCCGUGCCAGCAGCCGCGGUAAUACGGAGGGUGCGAGCGUUGUUCGGAUUUACUGGGCGUAAAGGAUGCGUAGGCGGUAUAUUACGUAAAAAGUGAAAUCCCGAAGCUUAACUUCGGAAUGGCUUUUUAAACGGAUAAACUUGAGAAUGUUAAAGGCAAGUGGAAUUCCUGGUGUAGAGGNGAAA